CAGCUGCUUUUGCUGUGCAGACUGCUGCGUGUGAUGGUGGUGUUUCUCCAACCAUGUGUGUUAGGGGUUCACCGCGGGGCACUUACAUGGUCCCGGCAUGGGACCUCUCGUGGAGCCAGCAUUCUCUAUUCCAACGCGUUUAUCAAGCAGAUCCAGAGAAACGGACCAAAUCUCCAAAGAGCAGCUUGCUUAGACCAACAGAAGUUCAAGUGCAGCUUCUUUCGACGCGAAGCAGGCAGUUAGAGCCAUUUCCUGCCAUUGUGUAAGCUCAGCCUGGAGCAGGGGAAUGGGAAGCAGGAGACUCUGAAUCCGGACUGAACACACACCUAGCCUCUGGGCACGGACUGCCGAGGGAGGAGACCCCAGCUGGCAAGAAACCAAGGCUCUCAGUUGGACACACGCCUACGUUCUACCCCCAAUCACGUGGGCUUAGAAGUAGACCUCCUCCCUGCCAUUCUGCCCUCAGACGAGCUAGCAGCCCCGGACCACGCCUUGACCACAGGUCUGUGCAUGCAGUGGGCUGAGCAGAGAAGCCCGCUCAGCCAUGCCUGCACUCCCGACCCUCAGAAGCUGCGCUGGGAUCAUAAAUGCGUGUUGUCUGAAGCCACCGAGUUUCUGGUUAUGUUGCGAUGCAGCAACAGGUAACUAAUUCGCUUAUCAUCCUGAGCCAGUGUGCCAGCUGAGAGACACAGAACAGCUUCGCUGACUCCACAGAGUAUAGCUUCCUCAUCUAAGAUGCGAGUAUGAACAUCUUCCAGAGAGGACUGAGUGAGGAGUCCGUGGGACGAUGUGUGGGAAAAGGCUGAGCACAGGGCCAGGCCCACAGCGUACACUCAAUGCGCGACAGCACACCUUCGUCCUGAGCUCAUCAGCCUUGCUCAGCAUUGGCUUUGCACAACAGGCUAGAUGAACAGAGUCAGAGUCAAUAGCUAGUGAUUACACAUCAUCUGUA